AUUUUAUCAGUCUACAUACUAUCAGAAUGAAUAAAAGGGGUAUCAGCGUUGCGGCAGUUACAUGCUUAUAAGUCGUAUACUCGCGAAGAAAAUGGGUUGUGUCUCAUCAAAACAGUCUAAAAAAGAUGCCAAGAAGGUUCGAGGUAGGGAAGACAAUCGUGGGCGUCUUUCGGUGAUUUGGGAGGAGUUAAGCUCUGCUGAGGUCCUCAACCUUGCCAAAACAGACCCGGAGGUCUACCAAAUUUGUUUAAGAGAUAAUAUCAUAAGACCACCCUGCCGUAGAAGAAGCCUGUGGAAGAUGUUUGGUAACGAAGCCGCUCAAGUACGCCCCAAAAAGUAAACACAAAUGUAUCUUUUAUUUACGCAAUAAACUAUUUUUACUCAUUUAAUAAA